rnacentral:rRNA from 1 species
CCUACGGGUGGCUGCAGUGAGGAAUAUUGGUCAAUGGGCGCAAGCCUGACCCAGCCAAGUAGCGUGAAGGAUGACUGCCCUACGGGUUGUAACCUUCUUUUGUCAGGGAAGAGUAGAAGACGGUACCUGACGAAUAAGCCACGGCUAACUACGUGCCAGCAGCCGCGGUAAUACGUAGGUGGCAAGCGUUGUCCGGAUUUACUGGGUGUAAAGGGCGUGUAGCCGGGUUUACAAGUCAGAUGUGAAAUCCUGCGGCUUAACCGCAGAACUGCAUUUGAAACUGUUGAUCUUGAGUACUGGAGAGGCAGAUGGAAUUCCUAGUGUAGCGGUGAAAUGCGUAGAUAUUAGGAGGAACACCAGUGGCGAAGGCGGUCUGCUGGACAGCAACUGACGGUGAGGCGCGAAAGCGUGGGGAGCAAACAGGAUUAGAUACCCCAGUAGUC